rnacentral:rRNA from 1 species
UACGUAGGGUCCAAGCGUUGUCCGGAUUUACUGGGCGUAAAGAGCGCGUAGGCGGUCUGUUAAGUGUAGAGUGAAAUCUCCAGGGCUCAACCCGGAAACUGCUCUGCAUACUGGCAGACUUGAGGGAUGCAGAGGUUUGUGGAAUUCCUGGUGUAACGGUGAAAUGCGUAGAUAUCAGGAGGAACACUGUGGUGUAGACGGCUUUCUGGACCAUAGCUGACGCUGAGACACGAAAGCGUGGGUAGCAAACAGG